ACAUAUACAGGAAUAUGGCAGAGAUGUCAUAGCGGUAAAACGUCUGUAUACAGGUGGUGCAUGGUUGUCGUCAGCUCGUGUCGUGAGAUGUUGGGUUAAGUCCCGCAACGAGCGCAACCCUCGUUCUGUGUUGCCAGCAUUUAGUUGGGGACUCACAGGAGACUGCCGGGGUUAACUCGGAGGAAGGUGGGGAUGACGUCAAAUCAUCAUGCCCCUUAUGUCUUGGGCUGCACGCAUGCUACAAUGGCUGGUACAAAGGGCUGCAAUACUGCAAAGUGGAGCGAAUCCCAAAAAGCCAGUCUCAGUUCGGAUUGGGGUCUGCAACUCGACCCCAUGAAGUCGGAGUUGCUAGUAAUCGUAGAUCAGCAACGCUACGGUGAAUACGUUCCCGGGCUUGUACACACCGCCCGUCACAUCACGA
rnacentral:rRNA from 1 species